rnacentral:rRNA from 1 species
CAGUAGCCGCGGUAAUACGAGGGGGGCAAGCGUUGUUCGGAAUUAUUGGGCGUAAAGGGUGCGUAGGCGGUUUGAUAAGUCUUAUGUGAAAUCCCACGGCUCAACCGUGGAGGGUCAUUGGAAACUGUUAAACUUGAGUGCAGGAGAGAAAAGUGGAAUUCCUAGUGUAGCGGUGAAAUGCGUAGAGAUUAGGAGGAACACCAGUGGCGAAGGCGGCUUUUUGGCCUGUAACUGACACUGAGGCGCGAAAGCGUGGGGAGCAAACAGGAUUAGAUACCCCCGUAGUCCCUGUCUCUUAUAC